GACGAACGCUGGCGGCGUGCCUAAUACAUGCAAGUUGAGCGAUGAAGAUUGGUGCUUGCACCAAUUUGCAGAGCAGCGAACGGGUGAGUAACGCGUGGGUAAUCUGCCUUUGAGCGGGGGACAACAUUUGGAAACGAAUGCUAAUACCGCAUAACAACUUUAAACAUAAGUUUUAAGUUUGAAAGAUGCAAUUGCAUCACUCAAAGAUGAUCCCGCGUUGUAUUAGCUAGUUGGUGAGGUAAAGGCUCACCAAGGCGAUGAUACAUAGCCGACCUGAGAGGGGGAUCGGCCACAUUGGGACUGAGACACGGCCCAAACUCCUACGGGAGGCAGCAGUAGGGAAUCUUCGGCAAUGGACGAAAGUCUGACCGAGCAACGCCGCGGGAGGGAAGAAGGGUUUCGGAUCGUAAAACUCUGUUGGUAGAGAAGAACGUUGGUGAGAGUGGAAAGCUCAUCAAGUGACGGUAACUACCCAGAAAGGGACGGCUAACUACGUG
rnacentral:rRNA from 1 species